UACGUAGAUGGCAAGCGUUGUCCGGAUUUAUUGGGUUUAAAGGGUGCGUAGGCGGCUUAUUAAGUCAGUGGUGAAAUACUCUAGCUCAACUAGAGGGGUGCCAUUGAUACUGAUGAGCUUGAGUACAGAUGAGGUAGGCGGAAUUGACGGUGUAGCGGUGAAAUGCUUAGAUAUCGUCAAGAACACCUAUAGCGAAGGCAGCUUACUAGGCUGUAACUGACGCUGAGGCACGAAAGUGUGGGGAUCAAACAGG
rnacentral:rRNA from 1 species